GCGUCAGUGCACGUCCAACAACCGCCGCAACCGGUCGUUCCAGCGUCAUAUAUUCCGCGUCCUUUGUCUCGAGGAACUGAUGCGGUAUCACGUGUAUAAAAGUAAUAUCUGCUAUCCCAGUACCAGUCAAAGGGGUCUCGCCGCGUUUGAGUUAUAACGCCACACGAUGACUAGGGCGAGAGUGUCUCGUGAAGUGGGGGAUGGCUUGGCCUCUCUGUAUGCAUACAGGGUGUCCCGUAACUGGUGGCACAAGCGAGUAAGGGACAAUUGAAUAAAAAAUGUAGAAUAACAUUUUUUCACGUGACGCAUUAUUUUUGAAAAAAAUUAAGUUGAAAAUUUAUCGAGUAACUGGGACCAGGUUCAGCUCGAAGGAUUUCAUUGUUAAUAGCCUCCAUUCUUGUUCGUAAACGUUGUCAGUGGCUCCUCACGUUGUUGCAAACAAAACUGUGCUCUCCUUAUUAAAUCGCUUCGAACGUUUUCUAAUGUAUCGUGCAAUUUUAAUUCCUUCAAACACUAUAAUAAUUUUUUGUUUUAAUUGUUCAACCCUCCUCAUGCGAUCACUGUACACAAUCCCCCACAAAUAAAAAUCUAAAAGUGAUAAAGGCACCCAAGGUAUUUUGCCUACUAUAGUGUGCUGUAUUAUAGUGUACUGGUGCUCCAUUUUAUUGAAAAAUUAAAUUUCUUCGAGUUAUAAGAGCAACAAAUUUAUUUUCUCCGAAAAUAAAGCGUCACAUGAAGAAACCAGACACCCUGUAUAUCCGUCGUCUGUAUGCGCUUGUCAGGGACAGAGGGGUUGAUAAACGCCCGUCCCCAUUCCAUCGUCGACCGUUUUCAACGUCGUCCCGACGACCCCAGUCAUCCGCCACGGGCCACAAUCAUCGCAGCGUCGCGGUAUUCAUAAACUAACUCAGACAACGUCUGAAACUUUGCGUCACAGGAUGGCGAUGCUCUGAUAUGGAAUAAUGGCGACGGCAUAGUAAUGAAGAUCGUGCAUGUUCACGCAUACCCGGCCGCUGCACGAGCUGUCCCUAAGUAUUUCCAUUCACGUCCCGCGAGUUCGUCCGAUGACGCGUACGUUCGUUCUGUUGCGCUUUAUCGCGGCCAGCCUGAGACUGAAAAUUGAUUAAUCGCAAGCACCAGUUGUUUGGAAUGGCGACAACAAGAAUUCAUCCUGGUGGGUGACGUUCGUGGUAUAGAAACGCGAACGGUGACUUUCGUCGCGAUAGUAGCACUGGUCUUGCGACGAAUUGGGGUGGUUAGGAUGUGGUGGAGGAUGGGGAGAGUUUAUAACACGGGCCAGGAUGGUUUCCAGAAAGGUUUUGGUUUUGGUAGAUGGUUUAGGUUGACGUGGCGAGCUCUGUUUUAAAUAGACAAAAAUCGUCCCCCAGUCGAGGAGUUAAUGGUCCCAGAGCCCGAUGGGUCACGCGACCGUUAAAAAUAAUCAUUUGUUUCCAUCACUUUCAAUCUGUGCCGCAACGCUGGAACGCGUAACGGUCCUCCAAUGACCGAUUCGAUUAUAAUCAAGGGAAAUCGGCGUCGUUACGCAAUCGGGCCAUCGUCCGCGAAGCACUGAUUUCGGGGGCGUUGUAGGAUGGAUGGCUGCGAACAGGCCGGCCAACCGGGGGAUGGCACGAGGGACAGGGCAGAAUAAAUAAACGCCAUAAUUCACGUUCAAGAGUUACGAACGGUUCAAUUCGCAAUUGGAACCGGUCCAACGGCUGGGACGCGAUAUAGACGAACGCCUGGCAAUGGUGGCCGCGGAACCCCCGGGCGAGAGGGCGGCGAGAGGUUGGCGCUCAGGAUACGGGAAAGGGCUGAAAGCAUUACACGACGAAGGGACAAACAGCUCGUCGCUUCUGUGUACGACGACGAACGUUGCCUGAAAUUAAUUUAAAAGGAUUCAGCAAUGAUUCAGUAGGAUCUGGAGAACUCAAUGAAAAGGCAUGGAAGAAUGGCUUAUCCCUGAGGAUCUCCAAAUGUUUUGUCGUGAGAUUCGCUCACAAGAGACUCCUUAUCGGCUUCUCCUAUCCUAUCGACGUGACGCUUACCGAAAGUGCUGGAAUUCCUCGGAAACCAUUUUUAGAAUUAUUUUAAUUUCGCGUCAUUUUUAAUCAAAUCUCUGUUUCUCGCGUUAUAUUAUCCAACGUCAGAAAUGUUUCCUCCAAGGCUCUCGGAUAAGCCACUGGACUGUUUCCUUUGGGGUUCGUCUAAAUGUAAAGUGCAUUGUGAAUCGCUGACAACGGUGAAAAAUAUAAAGGGGGGAUUGUAGCCUGCGGGAGCCGCAUUUACAUCAGGAACGUCUGAACGUGACGCACCUUCGUUAAUUAGCACGUAGUUAAUUAAUUAUUAUGCAAUUGUUUUCGUGUUAAUAAAUAUUAUUCCAAAGGUUUCUUCUAGGCAAGGAAAUUAAUUAUAAUUGAAAA